rnacentral:rRNA from 1 species
AGCCGACCUUGAAAUACCACCCUUUAAUGUUUGAUGUUCUAACGUGGACCCGUGAUCCGGGUUGCGGACAGUGUCUGGUGGGUAGUUUGACUGGGGCGGUCUCCUCCUAAAGAGUAACGGAGGAGCACGAAGGUUGGCUAAUCCUGGUCGGACAUCAGGAGGUUAGUGCAAUGGCAUAAGCCAGCUUGACUGCGAGCGUGACGGCGCGAGCAGGUGCGAAAGCAGGUCAUAGUGAUCCGGUGGUUCUGAAUGGAAGGGCCAUCGCUCAACGGAUAAAAGGUACUCCGGGGAUAACAGGCUGAUACCGCCCAAGAGUUCAUAUCGACGGCGGUGUUUGGCACCUCGAUGUCGGCUCAUCACAUCCUGGGGCUGAAGUAGGUCCCAAGGGUAUGGCUGUUCGCCAUUUAAAGUGGUACGCGAGCUGGGUUUAGAACGUCGUGAGACAGUUCGGUCCCUAUCUGCCGUGG